rnacentral:rRNA from 1 species
GAUGAACGCUGGCGGCGUGCUUAACACAUGCGAGUCGAACGAUGAAGCCCAGCUUGCUGGGUGGAUUAGUGGCGAACGGGUGGGUAACACGUGAGUAACCUGCCCUUAACUCUGGGAUAAGCCUGGGAAACUGGGUCUAAUACCGGAUAGGAGCGCCUACCGCAUGGUGGGUGUUGGAAAGAUUUAUCGGUUUUGGAUGGACUCGCGGCCUAUCAGCUUGUUGGUGAGGUAAUGGCUCACCAAGGCGACGACGGGUAGCCGGCCUGAGAGGGUGACCGGCCACACUGGGACUGAGACACGGCCCAGACUCCUACGGGAGGCAGCAGUGGGGAAUAUUGCACAAUGGGCGAAAGCCUGAUGCAGCGACGCCGCGUGAGGGAUGACGGCCUUCGGGUUGUAAACCUCUUUCAGUAGGGAAGAAGCGAAAGUGACGGUACCUGCAGAAGAAGCACCGGCUAACUACGUG